CGGAGAAUGUAGGAAAUAUAUGUAUCAAAAUGUGAGCUUACCAAAUAUAUUGAUAACAUACACAACAAAUAACAUAAAUUCUAAAUAAUUUUUUUUUCUUUAAAUAAAUCCGAAUUUUGUUGCUGUAAAUUAACUAAAAUUAUAACUACUUACUCCGGUCUCUUCUUGUACUUCUCUAACAGCGGCCGCACAUAUAUCUUCUCCCUAGAGGUCCGAU